GAUGAACGCUGGCGGCGUGCCUAAUACAUGCAAGUCGAGCGAACGGACGAGAAGCUUGCUUCUCUGAUGUUAGCGGCGGACGGGUGAGUAACACGUGGAUAACCUACCUAUAAGACUGGGAUAACUUCGGGAAACCGGAGCUAAUACCGGAUAAUAUUUUGAACCGCAUGGUUCAAAAGUGAAAGACGGUCUUGCUGUCACUUAUAGAUGGAUCCGCGCUGCAUUAGCUAGUUGGUAAGGUAACGGCUUACCAAGGCAACGAUGCAUAGCCGACCUGAUAGGGUGAUCGGCCACACUGGAACUGAGACACGGUCCAGACUCCUACGGGAGGCAGCAGUAGGGAAUCUUCCGCAAUGGGCGAAAGCCUGACGGAGCAACGCCGCGUGAGUGAUGAAGGUCUUCGGAUCGUAAAACUCUGUUAUUAGGGAAGAACAUAUGUGUAAGUAACUGUGCACAUCUUGACGGUACCUAAUCAGAAAGCCACGGCUAACUACGUG
rnacentral:rRNA from 1 species